UAAGACUUGUGAAACUCUAUAACACAUCUCCUGAAUGCAACUCAGACACUUUAAUUAAGCUAAAGCCUC
rnacentral:tRNA from 1 species